GAUGAACGCUGGCGGCGUGCCUAAUACAUGCAAGUCGAGCGAACAGACGAGGAGCUUGCUCCUCUGACGUUAGCGGCGGACGGGUGAGUAACACGUGGAUAACCUACCUAUAAGACUGGGAUAACUUCGGGAAACCGGAGCUAAUACCGGAUAAUAUAUUGAACCGCAUGGUUCAAUAGUGAAAGACGGUUUUGCUGUCACUUAUAGAUGGAUCCGCGCCGCAUUAGCUAGUUGGUAAGGUAACGGCUUACCAAGGCAACGAUGCGUAGCCGACCUGAGAGGGUGGUCGGCCACACUGGAACUGAGACACGGCCCAGACUCCUACGGGAGGCAGCAGUAGGGAAUCUUCCGCAAUGGGCGAAAGCCUGACGGAGCAACGCCGCGUGAGUGAUGAAGGUCUUCGGAUCGUAAAACUCUGUUAUUAGGGAAGAACAAAUGUGUAAGUAACUAUGCACGUCUUGACGGUACCUAAUCAGAAAGCCACGGCUAACUACGUG
rnacentral:rRNA from 1 species